rnacentral:misc_RNA from 1 species
AAAUUCUCAAAGUUACAGUCUUGUUCCUACAAGGCUGCAUCUUUUGGAUGUGAGCCCUUUUGUCGUAUGGCAAUGGCUUGAAAAUGAUUGUGUUUGCACCAGCUCUAUGGCUCGGUUCUUAACAAGUGCAACAGAUGUUAACUCAUUCGUUAUCUCUUGAAGAGGAUCGUUCUCAGGUACUGGUUGAUACACUCAAAACCAAAAACUUUCGCUGAUCCUUGGAUCUUCGACUGAUA